rnacentral:lncRNA from 1 species
UUGAAGCUGAUGAGGUCUCGAUUGCCUGUCUCUUCCAGUGCAUACCCUCUUCCAACCUGCGGAUCGAUUUUCUUCUUUAUGGGAGCUUCAUUUUCGGAGCCAUUUGCACUGACGAGACUAGCAUGGAGCUUGGGAGAGCAAAUGUGAGGGUGAGAUGAAGGGUUUCUAGUGGAAGGAUAGGGAUUUUUGGAGGAGUGAUACCCC